AUGGCGAAGCGCCGCCUCCUCGGCUCCAGCUCCGUUGGCCGUCCCGGCCACGUCCUCCUUUGCACACGUGGGUGGCGCGCUAGCAAGCUGGACGUUGUCCGCUGUAUCACCGCGCGCACCACAACGGAAGCUAUGGGAUCCAUGAAGGUGACAAUCCUCAUCAAAGAUCUGCCACCGCUCUCCUACUUCCAUGUUAGCUGCCCCGACCUCGAAGAGGACCACUUCACCCAAAGCCCGGAGAUCCUAUGGUCGUCGGAGUACUGCAUCCUCUUCCGUAUGUUCCCCCGUUCCGGCCGACCACAGUUCUUCAUCUGUAGGGACGAACAGCCCGGGUGCAAGCCGUCGCUUGAUCCGCUCCCUCAACUCGACUCGCAUUUGGCUAGUGAGAGCAUUAGUCCAUACCUCGUCGGGGUCGUUCCCGACUUCGACAGCCAGAACUAUGUCUUGGCCGCUUUCCGAAUGGAUUGUGUUUCACGGAUAUACACACUCCACGUCUUCAGGUCCAAAGGGUCUGUCUGGAGCAAACAUAUUCUUGCCAUCGAUCUUCCUUCCUGGAUAUAUACGAUUCGUCCAGGGCUUUUUCCGGAUAAGGUGAUUGCCUUAGGUGAAGAGGUGGGCUAUGUCGAUCUCUGGAAAGGGAUUCUCUUCUGCAACGUGCUCGAAGAACAGGUGACGGCACGUUUCGUUCCAUUGCCUGACCCACUACCAAACAAUCAAGAAUACUACGACGAAUUUUCAUCAAUUGAAAUACGCGAUGUCACAUGCACUGAAUCCCCUGAUGGCUUCAUAAUCAGAUGUGUUGAGAUGGAAGAUUUAUUCAGUUCCACAACCACCAUCCCUGAAGCCAAUGUAAUAUUUGAUUCUGAUGUUGAUCCAACCAAGAAGGUGGUAGAACCCGAAUGUGUUGGCUGGAGGCUUGUGACAUGGUAUAGGGAGACCUCUUGGAACUAUUGGUCCAAGGAGCAUGUAGUUAAUGUUGAUGACCUCGGAGCUGACUGGUUGCUUCCUUCUAAUCCAUCGUGCGUGCAAUCUUCUUUUCCCAUCCUGUGUGGUGAUGAUGCAGUUUGCCUCCUCUCCAUGAGUGAUGAUUCGGAUGGUGAUGGUUGGAUUGUCACUAUUGACAUAGAGAGGAAAAAAGUGAGAGGGAUAAUAGAAUCUUCUUGUGACCGAUACAUGCUUUUCAGCUCAGCCAUUUCCUGUGCGUCAAAGAAAUAUCCAGGUGGUGAUGCCUUAAGCGCUGGACAAGGAUCUGCGGUCAUUCGAAGCAUGGAUGAUUUAAGUUAG
rnacentral:rRNA from 1 species